rnacentral:tmRNA from 1 species
GCUCUGUUUUUCUCGACUUUUGGCCCCUAUAUUGAGCGGGCCGGCUCGCCGGCUAUGGAAAUAAAUUGCCGUCGCAAUAAACCAUUCGGACCCGGGGGCAGUACCCGGCGCCUCCACCAAAGCCCCUCGCAAAAGGCGGGUUUCGGCGGGGGCGAACCAGGAUCGACGAGGGCGUAAAGGGCGUGUUUUUUCCCGGUAUGGUUCCGCCGUUAUCGGGCUAUGCAAUAGUUGCAAACGACAACUAUGCUCCGGUUGCUCAGGCCGCGUAAGCGGUUUGAAAAACCAAGUCUGAAGUCCUAGUGGGUUAAGCUCCGCUGGGCGGGGUCCGGAGGCACCUGGCAACAGAAGCCUCCACU